UGCUAGAGCCAUAUCUCUCUGCAGUUCUCACCUGGUUUCCCACUGAUGCUAAGCAGGGUUGAGUACCUGGAUGGGAGACCUCCUGGGGAAAACUAAGGUUGCUAUUGGAA
rnacentral:rRNA from 1 species